GCAUUCAUUUUGCAGCACAUAUAAUAAAAUUGUGAAGAUACAGAGAAGAAUAGCAUGACCUCUGAACAAAGAUGCCCUGCAAAUCUGUGAAGCAUCAAAUAUUUAA